rnacentral:rRNA from 1 species
GUGGGGAAUAUUGGACAAUGGGCGAAAGCCUGAUCCAGCCAUGCCGCGUGUGUGAAGAAGGUCUUCGGAUUGUAAAGCACUUUAAGUUGGGAGGAAGGGCAGUAAGUUAAUACCUUGCUGUUUUGACGUUACCGACAGAAUAAGCACCGGCUAACUUCGUGCCAGCAGCCGCGGUAAUACGAAGGGUGCGAGCGUUAAUCGGAAUUACUGGGCGUAAAGCGCGCGUAGGUGGUUUUGUAAGUUAGGAGUGAAAGCCCAGGGCUCAACCUUGGAAUUGCUCUUAAAACUGCAAGGCUCGAAUCUCGGAGAGGAUAGCGGAAUUUCCAGUGUAGCAGUGAAAUGCGUAGAUAUUGGAAGGAACACCAGUGGCGUAAGCGGCUAUCUGGACGAGUAUUGACGCUGAGGCACGAAAGCGUGGGGAUCAAACAGGAUUAGAUACCCUGGUAGUCC